CUGGUUGAUCCUGCCAGUAGUCAUAUGCUUGUCUCAAAGACUAAGCCAUGCAUGUCUAAGUAUAAAUGUUAUACAGUGAAACUGCGAAUGGCUCAUUAAAACAGUUAUAGUUUAUUUGAUAAUCGAAUUUACAUGGAUAACCGUGGUAAUUCUAGAGCUAAUACAUGCUGGUUAGCCUGACUUCGAGGAAGGGCUGUAUUUAUUAGAUAACAAACCAAUAUUCUUCGUGUCUAUUGUGAUGACUCAUAGUAACUGAUCGAAUCGCAUGGUCCUUGACCGCGAUAAAUCAUUCAAGCUUCUGCCCCAUCAGCUUUCGAUGGUAGUGUAUUGGACUACCAUGGCUUUCACGGGUAACGGAGGAUUAGGGUUCGAUUCCGGAGAGGGAGCCUGAGAAACGGCUACCACAUCUAAGGAAGGCAGCAGGCGCGUAAAUUACCCAAUCCUGACUCAGGGAGGUAGUGACAAGAAAUAACGGACCGAGGCUUUCGCUUCGGGAUUGCAAUGAGUAGAAUUUAAACCCCUUUACGAGGAUCAAUUGGAGGGCAAGUCUGGU
rnacentral:rRNA from 1 species